AUUGAACGCUGGCGGCAGGCCUAACACAUGCAAGUCGUGCGGAUGAAGUGAGCUUGCUCCUGUAUUCAGCGGCGUACUGGUGUGUAAUGCCUAGGAAUCUGCCUGGUAGUGGGUGAUAACGUCCGGAAACGGGCGCUAAUACCGCAUACGUCCUGAGUGAGAAAGUGUGGGAUCUUCUGACCUCACGCUAUCAUAUGAUCCUAGGUCGGAUUAGCUAGUUGGUGGGGUAAAGGCCUACCAAGGCGAAGAUCAGUAACUGGUCUGAGAGGAUGAUCAGUCACACUGGAAAUGAGACACGGUACAGAAUCCUAAGGGAGGCAGCAGUGGGGAAUAUUGGACAAUGGGCGAAAGACUGAUCCAGCCAUGCAGCGUGUGUGAAGAAGGUCUUCGGAUUGUAAAGCACUUUAAGUUGGGAGGAAGGGAAGUAAGUUAAUACCUUGCUGUUUUGACGUUACCAACAGAAUAAGCACCGGCUAACUUCGUG
rnacentral:rRNA from 1 species